UGCCAGCCAGCCCCACGACACAGAGCACCACAGUGCCUCCGCGGGUUAUCCAAUCAGGCUCAGACUCUUCAGCAGAGCAGUUCAAGUGCUUUACAAUGAGACCCGAACAAUGCUGGCAAGCUCACCGGCCUCUCUAUCCCUACGUGUGUUCUUUGCUUGAAAUGACCUAUAAGCCUGUGAUACGGAAAAUCGGCGGCCGGCCGUUCUACUUCUGAAACAGAAUGCUUUUCCCACCCCCCACUGCUUUUUACUCUUCAAAACUGUACCGUGCACUCAAGGUCUCCCUUCAUUUGUCUCAACAGACACGGCACUGCGUGCAGAACAUUCUUCUUCUCUAUCUCCACCCACGUUGUGCUGUAAUGUUCUGAACUACUGAGAGACACGGCAUUGCGCACCGAACUACAGAGAAUGGCCACGUCCUCGGCAUGGUCUCCCUUAAGUCAUCUGAAGUGUCUAAGUCCCUUUCAGGGCGUGAAGUCUCAAUUUUAUUCUCUUUCUUUAGGUAUUUCUGGAACAGUUCAAUGUUACAGGGCAUCGGGGCUCCGGAAGCAGACUGCUUGGGAUCCGCUGUUUCCUACUUUGGGUACAUCUAUCUCCUCAACUAAAAGAGUAAAUAGUGACAUCUCAUAGACAAAAUCAGACCACUCUGUCCAUUUGACCCACGGAUAUGAUGGAAGAGUGCCUCAGGGGAGCAGAUACAGCACUGGAUUGGGAAGCUGACUUGAGCUCAACUGAAGUAAGUCACCCCGCUCUUAGUGAGACCAAGGGCAAGCCACUCAACAUCGAGUCUCAGUCUCAUCACCUUCAAAACGCUAGCGGGGGUUGGGGGGGGUGGAGCGGAGGGGCAAAACACUGUUCAUGCUACAUGACGCUAUUUUAACUUCUGUAAUUCUAAGAAAUGAAAGUAACAUCAUCACCAUUUUAAAAACUGCAUUUGUUAUGAAUGAAAAAGGCAGGUGUGCAGUAAGAUAUUAGGCCUUGCCUGGAUCUUUCUGGCAUUUUAACAAUGGUUCCAAGAACACCAUCAAGAGAACUUACUCAAGCAGGUUCCUGUGGUCUGAAUGAAAUUGUCCCAAACAUUUUUCAGUUGCCAUGUGCUAAUGAAAUGGAGAAGCCUUUAAAACAACACAUUAAAAAUUGCUGCUGUCAUUC
rnacentral:lncRNA from 1 species